rnacentral:rRNA from 1 species
CCUACGGGUGGCAGCAGUGGGGAAUAUUGGGCAAUGGGCGAAAGCCUGACCCAGCAACGCCGCGUGAAGGAAGAAGGCUUUCGGGUUGUAAACUUCUUUUGACAGGGAAGAGCAGAAGACGGUACCUGUCGAAUAAGCCACGGCCAACUACGUGCCAGCAGCCGCGGUAAUACGUAGGUGGCCAGCGUUGUCCGGAUUUACUGGGUGUAAAGGGCGUGUAGCCGGGCUGAACAGUCAGAUGUGAAAUCCGCGGGCUCAACCCCCGACCUGCCUUUGAAACUGUUGGUCUUGAGUAUCGGAGAGGCACGCGGAAUGCCUAGUGUAGCGGUGAAAUGCGUAGAUAUUAGGAAGAACACCAGUGGCGAAGGCAGCCUGCUGGACGACAACUGACGGUGAGGCGCGAAAGCGUGGGGAGCAAACAGGAUUAGAUACCCUGGUAGUC